ACCAACAGGGAUGCCCUAGUAACGGCGAGUGAAGCGGCAACAGCUCAAAUUUGAAAUCUGGCUCUCUUUGGGGGUCCGAGUUGUAAUUUGCAGAGGAUGCUUUGGCAUUGGCGGCGGUCUAAGUUCCUUGGAACAGGACAUCGCAGAGGGUGAGAAUCCCGUACGUGGGCGCCUGCCUUUGCCGUGUAAAGCUCCUUCGACGAGUCGAGUUGUUUGGGAAUGCAGCUCUAAAUGGGAGGUAAAUUUCUUCUAAAGCUAAAUACCGGCCAGAGACCGAUAGCGCACAAGUAGAGUGAUCGAAAGAUGAAAAGUACUUUGGAAAGAGAGUCAAAAAGCACGUGAAAUUGUUGAAAGGGAAGCGCUUGCAGCCAGACUUGCCCGCAGUUGCUCACCUAGGCUUUGGCCUGGGGCACUCUUCUGCGGGCAGGCCAGCAUCAGUUUGGGCGGUUGGAUAAAGGCCUCUGUCACGUAUCUUCCUUCGGGAUGACCUUAUAGGGGAGGCGUAAUGCAACCAGCCCGGACUGAGGUCCGCGCAUCUGCUAGGAUGCUGGCGUAAUGGCUGUAAGCGGCCCGUCUUGAAACACGGACCAAGGAGUCUAACAUCUAUGCGAGUGUUUGGGUGUCAAGCCCGGGCGCGCAAUGAAAGUGAACGGAGGUGGGAACCCUUUGGGUGCACCAUCGACCGAUCCUGAUGUCUUCGGAUGGAUUUGAGUAAGAGCAUAGCUGUUGGGACCCGAAAGAUGGUGAACUAUGCUUGAAUAGGGUGAAGCCAGAGGAAACUCUGGUGGAGGCUCGCAGCGGUUCUGACGUGCAAAUCGAUCGUCAAAUUUGGGCAUAGGGGCGAAAGACUAAUCGAACC
rnacentral:rRNA from 1 species